rnacentral:rRNA from 1 species
UACGAAGGGUGCUAGCGUUGUUCGAAAUCACUGGGCGUAAAGCGCGCGUAGGCGGCUUUGCAAGUCAGAGGUGAAAUCCUGAGGCUUAACCUCAGAAUUGCCUUUGAAACUGCAAGGCUGGAGUACUGGAGAGGAAUGCGGAAUUACUAAUGUAGCGGUGAAAUGCGUAGAUAUUAGUAGGAACACCGAUGGCGAAGGCAGCAUUCUGGACAGUUACUGACGCUGAGGCGCGAAAGCGUGGGGAUCAAACAGG